AGGAAUUCCACACAGUGUUUGGAACACAAGGAUGAAUCCUGAUGGCUCCCGCUGGUUGCUAGGUAACGUCUGUUUGGUACAAUCUGGUUCACAUCAUAAUGGUUCUUUUGCCAACAGGAGCUGGUAAUCAGGAUGGCAGUGAGGCAGGCACUUGCUUGCAGAAGAACAGGCCUAGUUUUUUAAGAAGCCACAAAAGUGUCUUUGGAUGAUUAGGAUCUAAGGGGCCAACAGCUUUGCAAUAACAGCAUAAAUAUUGUGGGCUGGAUGGACAGGCACCAAAUGGGGACAUUCCAUCCUGCUGUGUGAUGAGAAAGCUGCCACUUUUGAGGCCUUCCAAAACAAAUCAACACUCCAUAUGCCAGAAGGAAAAGCCCAGGAAAGACCUAUUCCAACUGGAGAUGGUGAAUGUCAUUUCUUCAAGAAGCUGAGAUCCAGCUGGUACUGCCAGGUGGAGAGUGAGUUGGGUAGCUGACCUCGGGCAUGGCAGCCUUGGUUUUUGGCCACUUCAUGGGGUGACCUGUUGAGCAAACAGCAGUGGAAUUCUGCAGCUGUGGACCAAGAUGAAUACGAAGGGAGAAUGAAACAAAACUGCUCCGCUUAGGGAACUUGGAAAGGAAAUUGAAAAGGCAAGGCACAGGCUGGAAGAAAAUAUUUGAAAAAGAUUUAUGUGAACUUCUUUCUGGAUUAUACAAAAUAUUUUUAGAUAUUCUUACAACUCUAAAAUAAGAUAACUCCUUAAAAAUCUAAAUUCUACCAAAGGAGAGAUAAAGAUGACGAAUACAUUCAAAGAUGCUGAAAAUCACUUAUUUAUUAUUAGGAAGUUACAAGCUAAAGCAUAAUGAGAUACCACUACAACCUACUAAACUGACUAAAAUUAAUCAGACUAACCAGGUGUUGGCAAGAAACAGGGACACUGAGACUCUCACACUGCUGGAAGGAAUGUAAAAUGCUAAAACUUCUUUGGAAAUGAGUUCAGUAACUUUUUAAACAGUUGAAAAUAGACCUAUCAUGCAAACCAGCAAUCCCACUUCCAGGUAUUUAUACAAGGAAAAUGACAACAUAUGCCCACAUAAAGACUUGUGCACAAAUGACCGUAGCAGCUUUGUGAUAAUUGCUAAAAACUAGAAACUUGUCAAGUGUCCAACAGCUAAGGAAAUAGAGACAAACUACAUAAGUUGCUGAAAAAUCACAGCAAAUAAUUAGCUGAGGAAGAGACUCAAAUCUAUCAGAACUGCUUGACUUUUGAUCCUGAGCUUAUGCGCAUCCAGUGGGCAAGUGAGGGUGCAUGGGUUUGUGAAGACUCCAGCAGUAUGAUUGGGGACACAGGGUCUCCCUAUGUUGCCCAGGCUGGUAUCGAACUCUGUUGCCCAGGCUGGUAUUGAACUCCUGCGCUCAAGUGAUCCUCCUGCCUCAGCCUCCCAAAAUGCUGGGAUUACAGGUACAGGGUGAACUCCGAGACCAUCUCUCCUAUUCAUUUACAUCCUCAGAACUUAGCACGAUGUCUGACCAUAGUGGAUUUUCAAUAAGUAACUAUGGGUUGACAUGCAGGCUGGACAUACAGUGGGCCUCGAUUGCUUAGAAGCCAAACUGAACUCACCAAGAAAAGAAGACAGGAGAAACUUCUCAAGAGGAAUAUCUCCAAAUUGCAGGAUCGAAUACCAUAAGAGGAAUUCUGGACUGAAGAGUUAUGAAGUCAUUUCAGACACUUCCAGACAAUUUGUGUUAAUUAAAUUCUCACUGGUUGAGUUCCAUUCUACACUGGAAGAGCAUUUUUCCUGGAAAGGCUCCUCAAAAUGGACACCAUCAAGAGUCACCUCCUCAGUGAAGCCUUCCAUGGUUUCAUACCACCCAUCCCUAUCGGAAUGAAUGUAUCCUUGUUCUCCGUUAUCCCAGUAUUUUGCCUGGGCUUCUGUCACACUACUUUCAAUGUCUAUACCUCAGUUAUCGAAUCGAAAAACAAGAGUCAUCAGUCUCUAAGGUCCUUGCAAGCUUCAAAACUUUAUAUUUUUGUCAAUUACAACUGAAUAAAGCUGAACAACUUAUUAUUUAUGGAUACUUGCUCAAGCACCAUAUAACUCUUUCAGAUAUUUUAAAAGAAUAUGUUUGCAAAAGACUCCAAAUCAAUGUAUUAAAUUGAAAUCCAGUAUCAAAACACCCAUUAAAGUGCUCUUUUGAAAUUGUACAUUUUAUAUCAAUAAAAUUUCAAAAUAUAAAAACCUCUAUUUUACUUGUUGAAUUCUUAGGAAUAAUAACUAAACAGUUUUAAAAUAUUAGUAGAAAGAUGGUGUCUUUGA
rnacentral:lncRNA from 1 species